GCUUCACUGCACCUCCAACAAUCCAAAAUGAGAACCUCCCACCAAGAGAACGAACAUACUUUGCACUUCUCCGAGCACUUUGCAAAGGCUGGUCUACAUCUUGCCUUUAGCUGUUGCUUAGCCAUGAUGGCAGAUACUUGAUAACCAGGGUUGGAAUUCUUUAGAUUCCAAGUGUUUGCAUACCCUGUACGUAAAAACCACAGUGCAAGACACACUGCUGUACCACAGACAUUCCUACAGUGAACGUGAUCAGUGGUAUGCGAAGCAUGUGCUCCUGUGGAGGAAGAUCUGAGCUAGCCAUGCCGCACCCCUGCACUGUAAGAGGUACAAGAGCAGGCUUACAUUUCCCUCCACCAGGGCCACAGACACCAAACGGCGCUAUCAGGGAUAUGCCUGGUUUGGAAGAAGCAAGUAAAGAAGCUCCCAAAGGCGCUAGAUCACAGAGGCUGGAGUGCUGCUGCAAUGCAAAGAGUACAGGAGACUGACUUGAAAAUAGCAAUCUCUUGCAAAGGCUGCCACUCUGCACAUCCCAAAGCUGACAAAGCAGUGUUCUGUAUAUAAAUGAAAAUGGGACUUGAGGGCCAUUAGUGCACUAGGUUCUUAUAAACAAACAGAAAAAUA